UACGUAGGGGGCAAGCGUUGUCCGGAAUCACUGGGCGUAAAGCGUCUGUAGGUGGUUUAAUAAGUCAACUGUUAAAUCUUGAGGCUCAACCUCAAAAUCGCAGUCGAAACUAUUAGGCUAGAGUAUAGUAGGGGUAAAGGGAAUUUCCAGUGGAGCGGUGAAAUGCGUAGAGAUUGGAAAGAACACCGAUGGCGAAGGCACUUUACUGGGCUAUUACUAACACUCAGAGACGAAAGCUAGGGUAGCAAAUGGG
rnacentral:rRNA from 1 species